rnacentral:tRNA from 1 species
GGGCUCGUAGAUCAGCGGAAGAUCGCCCCCUUGGCAUGGGGGAGGCCUCGGGUUCAAAUCCCGACGAGUCCAC